UACGUAGGGUGCAAGCGUUGUCCGGAAUUAUUGGGCGUAAAGAGCUCGUAGGCGGCUUGUCGCGUCGGCUGUGAAAACCUGGGGCUCAACCCCGGGCCUGCAGCCCGAUACGGGCAAGCGUAGAAUUCGGUAGGGGAGACUGGAAUUCCUGGUGUAGCGGUGAAAUGCGCAGAUAUCGGGAGGAACACCAAUGGCGAAGGCAGCUCGCUGGGACGGUACUGACGCUGAGACGCGAAAGCGUGGGGAGCAAACAGG
rnacentral:rRNA from 1 species